GGUUCGAUUAUGGCUCAGAUUGAACGCUGGCGGGAUGCUUUUUACACAUGCAAGUCGAACGGCAGCACGGACUUCGGUCUGGUGGCGAGUGGCGAACGGGUGAGUAAUGUAUCGGAACGUGCCCUAGUAGCGGGGGAUAACUACGCGAAAGCGUAGCUAAUACCGCAUACGCCCUUCAGCGGGGAAGCGGGGACCUUCGGGCCUCGCACUAUUAGAGCGGCCGAUAUCGGGAUGUAGCUAGUUGGUGGGGUAACGGCUCACGCAAG
rnacentral:misc_RNA from 1 species